AUCCAGGUGACGAGUCCCAAAUGGGACGAAACGCGCGUCCUGGAU
rfam:Schistosoma haematobium scaffold38_27, whole genome shotgun sequence.